rnacentral:siRNA from 1 species
AGCUCAUUCGUUGUGGUCUCUGUA